rnacentral:rRNA from 1 species
AGUGAACGUUGGCGGUAGGCCCAACACAUGCAAGUCGAACGGCAGCACAGUAAGAGCUUGCUCUUACGGGUGGCGAGUGGCGGACGGGUGAGGAAUACAUCGGAAUCUACUUUUUCGUGGGGGAUAACGUAGGGAAACUUACGCUAAUACCGCAUACGACCUACGGGUGAAAGCAGGGGAUCUUCGGACCUUGCGCGAUUGAAUGAGCCGAUGUCGGAUUAGCUAGUUGGCGGGGUAAAGGCCCACCAAGGCGACGAUCCGUAGCUGGUCUGAGAGGAUGAUCAGCCACACUGGAACUGAGACACGGUCCAGACUCCUACGGGAGGCAGCAGUGGGGAAUAUUGGACAAUGGGCGCAAGCCUGAUCCAGCCAUACCGCGUGGGUGAAGAAGGCCUUCGGGUUGUAAAGCCCUUUUGUUGGGAAAGAAAAGCAGCAGGUUAAUACCCCGCUGUUCUGACGGUACCCAAAGAAUAAGCACCGGCUAACUUCGUG